UCGUAAGUCGCCUCACGGCAUUGGCCGUCGGCGGCGAGCUUCGUUCGUCCCAAUGGAUGUGACGGAGUUUCACCAGAAAAAGGAA
rfam:Pseudomonas sp. M47T1 contig014, whole genome shotgun sequence.